GACGAACGCUGGCGGCGUGCUUAACACAUGCAAGUCGAACGGAAAGGCCCUGCUGUUGUGGGUUGCUCGAGUGGCGAACGGGUGAGUAACACGUGAGUAACCUGCCCUUGACUUUGGGAUAACUUCAGGAAACUGGGGCUAAUACCGGAUAGGAGCUCCUGCUGCAUGGUGGGGGUUGGAAAGUUUCGGCGGUUGGGGAUGGACUCGCGGCUUAUCAGCUUGUUGGUGGGGUAGUGGCUUACCAAGGCUUUGACGGGUAGCCGGCCUGAGAGGGUGACCGGCGACAUUGGGACUGAGAUACGGACCAGACUCCUACGGGAGGCAGCAGUGGGGAAUAUUGCACAAUGGGCGGAAGCCUGAUGCAGAAACGCCGCGUGCGGGAUGACGGCCUUCGGGUUGUAAACCGCUUUCGCCUGUGACGAAGCGUGAGUGACGGUAAUGGGUAAAGAAGCACCGGCUAACUACGUG
rnacentral:rRNA from 1 species